AUUGAACGCUGGCGGCAGGCUUAACACAUGCAAGUCGAACGGUACAGGAGAAAGCUUGCUUUCUUGCUGACGAGUGGCGGACGGGUGAGUAAUGCUUGGGAAUCUGGCUUAUGGAGGGGGAUAACUACGGGAAACUGUAGCUAAUACCGCGUAGAAUCGGAAGAUGAAAGUGCGGGACCGCAAGGCCGCAUGCCAUGAGAUGAGCCCAAGUGGGAUUAGGUAGUUGGUGGGGUAAAGGCCUACCAAGCCUGCGAUCUCUAGCUGGUCUGAGAGGAUGGCCAGCCACACUGGAACUGAGACACGGUCCAGACUCCUACGGGAGGCAGCAGUGGGGAAUAUUGCGCAAUGGGGGGAACCCUGACGCAGCCAUGCCGCGUGAAUGAAGAAGGCCUUCGGGUUGUAAAGUUCUUUCGGUAUUGAGGAAGGUUGAUGUGUUAAUAGUACAUCAAAUUGACGUUAAAUACAGAAGAAGCACCGGCUAACUCCGUGCCAGCAGCCGCGGUAAUACGGAGGGUGCGAGCGUUAAUCGGAAUAACUGGGCGUAAAGGGCACGCAGGCGGUUAUUUAAGUGAGGUGUGAAAGCCCCGGGCUUAACCUGGGAAUUGCAUUUCAGACUGGGUAACUAGAGUACUUUAGGGAGGGGUAGAAUUCCACGUGUAGCGGUGAAAUGCGUAGAGAUGUGGAGGAAUACCGAAGGCGAAGGCAGCCCCUUGGGAAUGUACUGACGCUCAUGUGCGAAAGCGUGGGGAGCAAACAGG
rnacentral:rRNA from 1 species